rnacentral:rRNA from 1 species
CCUGGCUCAGAUUGAACGCUGGCGGCAGGCCUAACACAUGCAAGUCGAACGGUAGCACAGAGAGCUUGCUCUUGGGUGACGAGUGGCGGACGGGUGAGUAAUGUCUGGGAAACUGCCCGAUGGAGGGGGAUAACUACUGGAAACGGUAGCUAAUACCGCAUAACGUCGCAAGACCAAAGUGGGGGACCUUCGGGCCUCACACCAUCGGAUGUGCCCAGAUGGGAUUAGCUAGUAGGUGGGGUAAUGGCUCACCUAGGCGACGAUCCCUAGCUGGUCUGAGAGGAUGACCAGCCACACUGGAACUGAGACACGGUCCAGACUCCUACGGGAGGCAGCAGUGGGGAAUAUUGCACAAUGGGCGCAAGCCUGAUGCAGCCAUGCCGCGUGUAUGAAGAAGGCCUUCGGGUUGUAAAGUACUUUCAGCGAGGAGGAAGGCAUUGUGGUUAAUAACCGCAGUGAUUGACGUUACUCGCAGAAGAAGCACCGGCUAACUCCGUGCCAGCAGCCGCGGU